rnacentral:rRNA from 1 species
CGCGUAGGCGGUGCCACAAGUCACCUGUGAAAUCUCCAGGCUUAACUUGGAGUCUGCAGGCGAAACUGUGGUGCUGGAGUGUGGGAGAGGUGCGUGGAAUUCCCGGUGUAGCGGUGAAAUGCGUAGAUAUCGGGAAGAACACCUGUGGCGAAAGCGGCGCACUGGACCACAACUGACGCUGAGGCGCGAAAGCUAGGGGAGCAAACAGGAUUAGAUACCCUGGUAGUCCUAGCCCUAAACGAUGGAUGCUUGGUGUUGCCGGUACCCAAUCCGGCAGUGCCGCAGCUAACGCGAUAAGCAUCCCGCCUGGGGAGUACGGUCGCAAGGCUGAA